CUCUCUAAACACUAUAAGUCUCUCUCUCUCUAAACAACCAGAGGCAAUCACCACCAAACCCCACCCCCACUAAUCAAGAACCUAAAACAACCCUCUUAUAACAAUCCCAAAAUUCGAUUUCUUUAAUUAUAGUUAGACAUUAAGAUGUUGGGGCUUUUGAUUAGAAGAUGAAGACGAGUAUGUUGGUGCAAGAAUUAUGUUGAAUUUGUGUGCGGUCAGAGGCUAUGGCCAGAUCCGACACCAGUUGUUAUAAACAAAUCGAAGGAAUCAACUCCGGUUGCUGUGGUGAAAACCUUUGUAAAUGCAGUUAAUGAGAUGAAAAGAAUUAUUGUGUGUGCGGAUCAUUAUGAAGCGUUAGGCUUAUUGCAUUAUAAGAAAAUCGAUGCUGCUUUUUUGAAGAAAGAAUAUAGGAAAAAGAAUUCGGUAGUGGUGGGUUUGUAUGUGUUUAGAGAUGUGUUUGUGGUGACCGGAUCCGGUGGUUGUGGGGGUUGGUUGCAAACGGUGGCUGGUGGUGGGGCUUGAUUCGGUGGUUGUGGCUGGGAUACGCUAGUGGUGGACCUGGUGAUGGCUGAAUUUGGUGGUGGUAAGGUUGGUUGAAGAGAUGAGAUUAGCUUAGAGAAGAGAUUGGGUUGUAUGUGUAUAUUGUAUAUAUUUUAAAUAAAUGAGUAAAAUUACCGAUCUACACUCA